UUCCUCUCUAAAAAUUUCCAUGGUAUUGAGCUUGGAUGUUUUGCAAAACCAUUAGCAUGAGCUCAUGGCUUACGUGAUUUCUCCCUUCCAAACUCCCUAUAAAUACUCAUGAAAUCUGCUCAUACUCCUCACUCAACCAAAUUCGAUUUACAGAAAAAUAAGUACAAGAUAUUAGCUACACAAAUUCCCGUAACUAUCCUCUGUUUUCACGUAUCACCACCAUUGUCACCACCGCGGCACCGCCGCUUGUGCAACCUACUGCCACCAUAAACACCUCCUCUCAUUAACUAAAACAAUGUAAAACCAUUAUCCAUAAUGUAAAAGCUAAAUUGUAGCAACCCAUCGUCGAACCCGCAACCCGAAAGUCACAUUACCCCUCUCUCUUUCCUCACUGAUGCGGACCACCACCAUCACCGCCUAGGCGAAACCUUCUGCCUCCGUUCCUUCGACCACCACCUCCCUGUGUCACCCUAUUCGAGUUAUUGCUAAGUGUUAACUCACGCAAGUCUCUUAGCCUCACCUCUCCUUUUCUUGGUUCUGUUCGUACUUUAAUGUGAAGCCUUGAGAUUGGAUUUUCUUUGCCCAAACCCAAUUGAAUAAGUUGCUCAUAUUUUAAAACAAAAGUCAACUUUCCUUACCAACCACUUAAGCUAAAUUGGUGAUCGGAGCUCAGAAGAACGAUCCAUCGAACAGGAAGUAUAAACUACGGUUGAGGUACGAAGAAGAUCAUGGGAUGCCUUAGAGUGAGGAUGCAACCAUCAAAUUCACGAUCGAUGUUUAAUAAAGAUAACUAUGUCAUUAGUAAUAAAGGGAUGUAUUAAUUAAACUCUAAGUUUGAUUUCACGAUUUGAGUUAGAUUUUUAAAUUAAUGUCUAAACUUGUUAGAAAUAUUUAUUAAGGUUUACUUAGAUUUCAAUGUAAAUUUUAAAGAAUUAAUGGAAGUGAAGCAUAAUUACUGUUACUCAAUAGUAGUCAGUAAACGUAAAAAGGUUAUGUCGCCUUGUAUUUCCCACGAGGGAGAUACGGCAGUGACGCUCCGACUAAAUUAG